rnacentral:rRNA from 1 species
CCUACGGGUGGCUGCAGUAGGGAAUCUUCCACAAUGGGCGAAAGCCUGAUGGAGCAACGCCGCGUGUGUGAUGAAGGCUUUCGGGUCGUAAAGCACUGUUGUAUGGGAAGAACAGCUAGAAUAGGGAAUGAUUUUAGUUUGACGGUACCAUACCAGAAAGGGACGGCUAAAUACGUGCCAGCAGCCGCGGUAAUACGUAUGUCCCGAGCGUUAUCCGGAUUUAUUGGGCGUAAAGCGAGCGCAGACGGUUGAUUAAGUCUGAUGUGAAAGCCCGGAGCUCAACUCCGGAAUGGCAUUGGAAACUGGUUAACUUGAGUGCAGUAGAGGUAAGUGGAACUCCAUGUGUAGCGGUGGAAUGCGUAGAUAUAUGGAAGAACACCAGUGGCGAAGGCGGCUUACUGGACUGUAACUGACGUUGAGGCUCGAAAGUGUGGGUAGC